AAAGAAGUGACCUCCAAAUUUUGAGAUAGAUAUGACUUUAGGCUUCAAGCCGACCCGCAAAAUCCUCCUCUCAUAUUCGCCACCGUGCUUUUCUUCUUAUUAUUGUCAACGCAUUGUUUCUGCAUGAAUCAGAUCCGGAUCCGGAUCGGCAUUUCAAAUCCGGGUUCAAACUUGCCCCGAGACCGACAAUGGCGUCGAAGGCUUCGCCGUCUCCUUCCGCCAGCAGAUCGGACCCUCCUAAAGACUCGCCGGUGCAGAUGACGAAACCACAAGAAACAUCUCUAACCAUUAAGGAGAUUUUCUCUGUUAUUGACUCUCUAAAGAAGCAAGUUGUAGCUAACCGGUGUGUUUCUAUAAAGAAAAGAAUGGAAGAGAAUAAACAAAAGUUGGUUGGUGUCACAAACCAUCUUUAUAUGUUGUCGAAGGAAAGAAGAAACAGCCGGAUUAACAUUACUGAUAGUAGCCUAGAUUUACUGACAAAAAGGCAAAAAGAUGCACUGCAUAUGCACAGUGGUAUUGAUGCAAGUAACGAAGACAAGGAUAACCACAGCUCUCAAGAAGAUGGUAAUGCUUCUACAGCAGUUCUUCUGGGAUCCAGUAUUCCAGUCAAGAAUGCUGUUCGGCCUAUUAAGCUCCUGGAAGUGAAGAGAUUACCCUCUUACACUACAUGGAUAUUUUUGGAUAGAAACCAAAGAAUGACAGAUGAUCAAUCUGUGGUUGGACGAAGAAGAAUAUAUUAUGAUCAAAAUGGUGGUGAAGCACUUAUUUGCAGCGACAGUGAGGAGGAAAUAAUUGAAGAAGGGCAGGAAAAAAGAGAUUUUAUAGAUUCUGAAGAUUAUAUUCUUCGCAUGACUGUCAAAGAAGUUGGUUUUUCUGAUCCUGUGAUGGAAUCACUGGCCCAAUGCCUUUGUAGAAGCCAUUCUGAAGUCAAGGCAAGAUAUGCAGUUCUUACAAAAGAAGAAACGACUGUGGUGGAUUCAAAGAAUGAAGAUGGUGAUGCACAAACAUUGAAUUCUUUCAUUGAUAAGGAUCUUGAAGCUGCUUUGGAUUCUUUUGACAAUCUGUUUUGUCGUCGAUGUCUUGUCUUUGAUUGCAGAUUGCAUGGAUGCUCACAGGAUCUUGUGUUUCCUGCUGAGAAACAUCACUGGAGCCGUCCAGAUGAGGAAAAUGAACCAUGUGGUCCACACUGUUACAAAUUGGUUUUGAAGUCGGAAAGAAUUGAUACUGCAAAUUCUUCCGAGUAUGGUAAUAUUGGAGAAAAUGAUGUCCGUCCAUCUGAUGGGAUGGGGGCUCAAAUUUCCUCAAGGAAGAAAUCUUCUGCUCAAUCUGCCAGGAGGAAGGUGAAGUCCAGCCACAGUGAAAGUGCUUCAUCAAAUGCAAAAAAUGUUUCAGAGAGCAGUGACUCAGAGAUUGGACCUCGGCACGAUGCCGCUUCACCUUCCAAGGCUAAGCUUGCUGGAAAAAGUGGGGCUUGUCAUAGGAACAACAAGCGAGUGGCUGACCAUCUUCUAAGUUGCUUGCGGAAAAGGAAGAAGAAAACUGUGGUUUCUGAUUCUGAUUCUAUUGUGAGCGGAAGCCUUUUGGCAGGUGAUAUGAAACUUAGAUCCACUUCACGCAAAGAAAAUGAAGACACUAGUUCUUCUCACAAGAAUGUUAAAUCUCGGACUGUUGGAAGGUCUAGGAGGAAGGAAUGCAUAAUUCUGGACAGUAACAACUUACUACAGGCUGAAGUUCAUGAUGGUCCUCCAAGUGAUAUGAUCACCGAUCUACAAGCAACUAUCAGCGAUGACACAUUGAGGAAAGAAGAGUACGUAGAUGGAAGUGUAUGUGAAAAAGAGUUGGCUGAUAACAGAUCCUGGAAAGCUUUUGAAAAAAGCCUAUUUGAGAAAGGUGUGGAGAUUUUUGGGAGGAACAGUUGUUUAAUUGCUAGGAACCUUUUAAAUGGUUUAAAGACUUGUUGGGAGGUUUUUCAAUAUAUGACUUGCUCUGAGAAUCGGUUAGCCUGCCAAGCAGGUGAUGUUGCAAAUUCUCUUGGUGAAGGAUAUUCCAAGUUUGACUUCAAUGGAGCAAUGGUUAGUGUUUAAUAACUUGUUUGCAUCAUGCAUAUGACUGUUUCUCUCUAGUGAGAUUUAUAUCUCUUAUUAUUCAACUGUGGUGGGUAUGGAUAUUUAAAUGGACGUCAGGGUAAUAAUCAAGUGCGAAGAAGAUCAAGAUUUUUACGCAGAAGAGGUAGAGUUCGCCGCUUGAAGUAUUCUUGGAAGUCCACUGCUUACCAUUCUAUUAGGAAACGGAUUACUGAGAGGAAAGAUCAGCCAUGCCGACAGUAUAAUCCAUGUGGUUGCCAAACUGCUUGUGGAAAGCAAUGUGCAUGUCUGCUAAAUGGUACAUGCUGUGAGAAGUACUGUGGGUGAGCUUUUGCUUAACAACUCAAAAUGAUGCAUAGAGAUUUUCUUUUCUGCAACUGGAAUUUCAUUCAGAUUUAAAAUUGUGGAGUUCAAUCAUAGAACUGCAUUCCUUACUGACUUGAACAAUUUUUGGGGUUUAUAGAUUAGAUGCCUGAGUGGCUGUGUACACUUGCAUGUAUACUCACAAAUGGUACUGAUGAUAAGAUUCUAUGCUAAUAUUUACUUGUUCAUCUAGUUGUCCUAAGAGUUGCAAGAACCGAUUUAGGGGCUGCCAUUGUGCUAAAAGUCAAUGUCGAAGUCGUCAAUGUCCAUGCUUUGCUGCAGACAGGGAAUGUGAUCCAGAUGUUUGUAGGAAUUGUUGGGUCAGUUGUGGUGAUGGUACUCUCGGGGUUCCUAACCAAAGAGGUGAUAAUUAUGAAUGCAGGAAUAUGAAGCUUCUUCUUAAACAACAACAAAGGGUUUUACUUGGAAGAUCUGAUGUAUCUGGUUGGGGAGCUUUCUUGAAGAAUAGUGUUGGCAAGCACGAGUAUCUAGGUGAAUACACUGGAGAGCUGAUUUCACACAGGGAAGCAGAUAAGCGGGGGAAGAUAUAUGACCGUGAAAAUUCGUCAUUUCUCUUCAAUCUGAACGAUCAGUUUGUUCUUGAUGCUUACCGCAAGGGUGAUAAAUUGAAGUUUGCCAACCACUCACCAGACCCAAAUUGCUACGCAAAGGUCAUAAUGGUUGCAGGGGAUCACCGUGUGGGUAUAUUUGCCAAAGAACGAAUUAGUGCAGGAGAAGAACUUUUCUACGACUAUCGAUAUGAGCCAGACAGAGCUCCUGCCUGGGCUAGGAAGCCUGAAGCAUCUGGAUCGAAAAAAGAAGAUGGAGCUCAUACAAGUGGUCGGGCUAAGAAAGUUGCUUAAUUUGAGCAUUUGUUUACAUCCUCAAUUCAAAAUUUUUGUAAUUCUUUUACAGGCAGAAGAUGCAUCAUUCUCAUUGACCAUAGAGGAUAGGCAAACGCACAAUCAUUAUCAAGUUGGAGAGGCCAUUGUCAUCUCCACGGAUAACUUUUUUCUGAUUUUGCACUCAAUAUAUGUUAUUCUUGAUCAAAUUGUAUUUACUAAAGCAGGAUAAUCUAACAUUGAACCGUGCAUGUAAAAGUGCAAUUGGUUAGGAAAUUUCAUUAAUGCUCUCGAGGACAAGGGUCGUUUACUUGCAUACUUGCGUGAAUUUUAGUUCUUGUAAUGGAGUCUUGUAGUACCGUGAGACUCAUAGCAUUUUGGUCUUGUUUAGUUGAGUUUAUCUCAACUCCGGAACAUUUUAGAGUGCAGAAGUUAACUGAUUAGAGGGUGGUAGUUGAUAGCCGGUAGAAAUUCAAACAGGUGAACUAAAAUAUUUAGCUGAUGUGUAACUGAUAUGAUAUUUAUCAGUUGCAGUUUGUAUCAGU
rnacentral:misc_RNA from 1 species